UACAGAGGUCUCAAGCGUUGUUCGGAUUCAUUGGGCGUAAAGGGUGCGUAGGCGUCGCGGUAAGUCGGGUGUGAAAUCUCGGAGCUUAACUCCGAAACUGCAUUCGAUACUGCCGUGCUUGAGGACUGGAGAGGAGACUGGAAUUUACGGUGUAGCGGUGAAAUGCGCAGAUAUCGGGAGGAACACCUAUGGCGAAGGCAGCUCGCUGGGACGUUACUGACGCUGAGACGCGAAAGCGUGGGGAGCAAACAGG
rnacentral:rRNA from 1 species